rnacentral:rRNA from 1 species
UACGAAGGGGGCUAGCGUUGUUCGGAAUUACUGGGCGUAAAGCGCGCGUAGGCGGAUUUGUAAGUCAGGGGUGAAAUCCCGGGGCUCAACCUCGGAACUGCCUUUGAUACUGCAAGUCUCGAGUCCGAUAGAGGUGGGUGGAAUUCCUAGUGUAGAGGUGAAAUUCGUAGAUAUUAGGAAGAACACCGGUGGCGAAGGCGGCCCACUGGAUCGGUACUGACGCUGAGGUGCGAAAGCGUGGGGAGCAAACAGG